AAGACUAUACUUUCAGGGAUCAUUUCUAUAGUUCGUUACUAGAUUGUGGUAUCUAGGACUGUGAGAGAAUAAACAUUUAAAGCCAUCAGCUGGUGGU
ensembl:snoRNA U3 Small nucleolar RNA U3